UGUAGGAUGAUAUAUAUGUUCAAGAAAUUCCUUCUGUCUCUGGCUGACUUGUCCACCUUCCCUCCAGUGGGUUUACAUGUCACAGGAUACCAAGUACCUCUCUGGGAGGCAACCACUGCAUCAGCUGAUGCUGACAUGUUCAUGUAUGCCAUUUGCAAGUGUCAGACCUACAACAACUUUAAGGGGCUCUGAGUAGUCAGCCAUGCCAAAAAACUGACAUGUCUUGCAACUAUGCCAGGUGCCAGGAAUGGACGGCCUCCUCAUCUGAGUGGAGCUUGAGGUCAACUUUGCCAAACUUUAUGGGGAGAGCAUUGUAAGACAAGAUCCCACCAGGACCACUUGUUUGAU